rnacentral:ncRNA from 1 species
UUCGGCCUCGCUGCUUCUUUCGCAGCCCCCCGCAAGCCGUCGCCGACGCACUCCUACAUUCGUAUCAGUACAGCGAUCCAGUCGCCUCUUCGCGGCGCGGC